GAGGGAUUAGCUCAGUCGGCAGAGCGUCUGCCUUUUAAGCAGAAUGUCCUGGGUUCGAGCCCCAGAUCCCUCA
rnacentral:tRNA from 1 species